rnacentral:misc_RNA from 1 species
GAUGAAGAACGCAGCGAAAUGCGAUAACUAAUGUGAAUUGCAGAAUUCAGUGAAUCAUCGAGUCUUUGAACGCACAUUGCGCCCUCUGGUAUUCCGGAGGGCAUGCCUGUCCGAGCGUCAUUGCUGCCCUCAAGCACGGCUUGUGUGUUGGGCCCCCGUCCCCCCCCCUGCCGGGGGGACGGGCCCGAAAGGCAGCGGCGGCACCGCGUCCGGUCCUCGAGCGUAUGGGGCUUCGUCACCCGCUCUUGUAGGCCCGGCCGGCGCCAGCCGACCCCAACCCUAAAUUUUUUUCAGGUUGACCUCGGAUCAGGUAGGGAUACCCGCUGAACCUAAGCAUAUCAAUAAGCGGAGGA